UCGCGUGUUGCAACGGAACCAGAUGAUUGGCUGUUCGAUCGACCCCGAUCAAGGCCGACUCGCCUCACUGUUGCAGUACAUUAAGACGUUUGCUAAUUGUUCAUGAUUAGCUGUGGCAAGAAUAUCUAUGGGGUUGUGUGCCGAAGAACCAGGGUUUAGAAAGCUUACUAAUCUUUUCUGUGCAAACUCAUCAAAUUCAGGAAUACUAAAAGAGUAUAAAGAUUGAAAGAGUGUGGAAUCCUCUGCGUAAAAAGGUGAAAGCCCUGUAAAUUUAUUUAUCUCAUUAGAAGAAUUUGGGUCGAGUACAUCGAAAAUCAAUUUUGAUGGAAGAUAGGGGGACCACCCUCUAAGCCUAAGUACUCCGUUCUAACCGAGAGUGGACUAGUACCGUGAGGGAAAGGAGAAAAGAACCCUAAAAAGGGAGUGAAAAGACACUGAAACCCAAAGCCGACAAACAGUUGAAGCUUUCUUCAUACAAACGUAUAAGAGAGUAACAGCGUACCUUUUGCAUAAUGGGUCAGCGAGUCAAGUUUUGUGGCGUAGCUUAAGCCGUAAAGGUGGAGGCGUAGGAAAACCGUAUACCUUGGAAACAAGGGAGUCCCAAGACUUGAACCCGAAACCGGGUGAUCUCGUCAUGAGCAGGUUGAAGGAUGGGUGAAACCUUCUGGAGGACCGAACCCACGUCUGUGGCAAUAGGCGGGGAUGACUUGUGACGAGGGGUGAAAAGCCAAACGAACCCGGAGAUAGCUGGUUUUCUGCGAAAUCUAUUGAGGUAGAGCGUUUAUAGAAAAGAUCUUUGGGGGUAGAGCACUCUCUGGGUGCGGGUUGCCCAAAGCGAUACCAAACUCAAGGAAACUCCGAAUACCAAAGAGAAUUAUUUAUUUAUAAAUAAAACCUAUAAGCAGACAGACUUUGGGCGCAAAGGUCCAAAGUCGAGAGGGAAAAAGCCCAGACCACACGCUAAGGUCCCUAAACAUAUACUGAGUGGGAAAAGAUGAUAUAAAGAGUAUAUUUUAAAAUACUUUUGAGAGCGAAGACAACCAGGAGGUGGGCUUGGAAGCAGCCAUCCUUUGAAGAAAGCGUAAGAGCUCACUGGUCGAGCUUACUAUCACUGAAAAUGUAUCGGGUCUCAAGUAUAUUACCGAAGCGGUGGGAAUAAAGAAUGAAUCUCAUUCUUUAUUCGGUAGCAGAACGUUCUGUAAUCGAAGAAGAUAUUUUGUCAGAAAUAUUGGAGAAAUCAGAAGUGAGAAUGCUGACAUGAGUAACGAAAAUCAUGUGAAAAUCAUGAUCGCCGAAAAGUGAAGGGUUUCUACAGAAGUUCAUCGAUGUAGAGUUAAUCGGUCCCUAAGAAACAAGCGAAGGCUGUAUUUAAUGGGAAACGAUUGUAUAUAGUAUCUAUGUGCAAUCUAUGUUCAUACGUGACGACAAAUAAAAGAUUUAUGUAAGUUAUUGGAUUCUUAUGUAAGGAGUUAUUUGUCCAGGAAAAAAGGUAUGAAACAAACACCGUACCCUAAACCGCCACAGGUCACUGAGUGUUUACCACUAAGGCGAUUGAGAGAACUACGUUGAAGGAACUCGGCAAAUUUCCUCCGUAACUUCGGGAAAAGGAGGACCUUUGAGCCUUAUAAGGUAUCAAAGGUGGCACAACACGGGGGUGGCGACUGUUUACUAAAAACACAGGACUCUGCGAAAUUGAAAGAUGAUGUAUAGGGUCUGACGCCUGCCCGGUGCUGGAAACUUCAGGGAAAAGGUGCGUAUACUUUUAGUAUACAAGCUUUGAACUUCAGGUCCAGUGAACGGCGGCCGUAACUCUGACGGUCCUAAGGUAGCGAAAUUCCUUGUCGAAUAAUUGUCGACCCGCAUGAAUGGCGUCACGACUGCCCCACUGUCUCCAACGUAGACUCAGUGAAAUUGAAUUCUCCGUGCAGAUGCGGAGUACUCGAAAAAAGACGGUAAGACCCUAGCACCUUUAC
rnacentral:rRNA from 1 species